rnacentral:rRNA from 1 species
CAGCCGCCGCGGGAAUACGUAGGUGGCAAGCGUUGUCCGGAAUUAUUGGGCGUAAAGGGCUCGCAGGCGGUUUCUUAAGUCUGAUGUGAAAGCCCCCGGCUCAACCGGGGAGGGUCAUUGGAAACUGGGAAACUUGAGUGCAGAAGAAGAGAGUGGAAUUCCACGUGUAGCGGUGAAAUGCGUAGAGAUGUGGAGGAACACCAGUGGCGAAGGCGACUCUCUGGUCUGUAACUGACGCUGAGGAGCGAAAGCGUGGGGAGCGAACAGGAUUAGAGACCCCAGUAGUCCCUGUCUCUUAUAC